rnacentral:lncRNA from 1 species
GUAGUAUCAUAUACUCUUGCUUUAAAAACCGUUUUAUAAGCAUAGUGGGAGUAUUAUAUACAACUAAAACAAUUAUAUGGACCAAUAGUUGUAAUAGGACCAAAGUUGUUUUAAUAGAGAUUAAAAUAUAUGUUUAUGUGAUGAGACCUAAAACCCUCAACCAAACCAUUAUUAAGUUGAUAAGCGUGAGAGUGCUUUGAACAUUCUUUCGUAGGCCUUCCACCGUGGUGGCUCCAAUCGUUUAUGACUUGUACACCGGCUUCACCCUAUCAUGGGGGAGUACAAAGUGCAUGCUUAUACUCAGGAGGAAUCCAUAAACAUAGGAUGAGGUGAGUGUAGGCAACGAGGAUGGCCGACAUCGAAUCAUCGUGAGGCUAUUCUUGAACCCCUUCACGAACUAAGCAUGGUGGGAAUGACUUAACUAAGUGCAAUGGAGCCAACAUCAUAUCAUUGUGAGGUGACAUUCUCUAGAGGCCAAAUAAGAUGGGUACUUGCAUUAGUUGCAAAUGAGUAAGCGUACUCUCUCAUUAUUAUUGUUGCUAGCCAAACAUCGUAUCAUCGUGAGGUAGGCUUGGUAAUAGUGAGUCUCCCAUAACCUACUAAGAGUUUCUUCCAAAACUCUCGAAUUCCAAUGAGGGAUAUGGAAUUUGCCAAAAAUAGUGGGUGGUGCUAUUUGAUUUAAAGA